rnacentral:misc_RNA from 1 species
GUCGAAACUGGAAAUUAUUAAAUAAAUCUUAUUUAUUGAAACGCUAAAGUUAUUAUAUAUGUAAUGUCAUUGUAAUAUAUUACUCAAAGUCAAAUUUAUCUGCACUCUAAUUAUUAGCUAUAGUCACUUUUUUUAAACAUUAGUCUCGAUAAAAGGCUCGAACUCGUUUUUUUAUGUAGCAGUCAUAAAAAAAUGUGGCUCACUUCACCACAUUUUCCGUCAUCUUUCGCCACAUCAAACUUAAACAGUUUUAUUUAUCGAUAAAGAAUCGGAAUUUGUAAAAUCAGAGAAAUGAUAUGAUCGUUUAGUCAUGUCUCAGAUUUGUCCAUCUUCGUCGCAUCAACUGGUCGCAGCCGCAAUUGCCUUUCGACGUGCAAGACGUAAAUUUCCAAAAAAUUAUGGUCUCUGUUGUAACUCCGAAGAAGUAACCAAGUUUGACGAAACUGAAAGCAUCACAGGAAACGAGGAAACCAACGAUGCGGAGAAUUUAUCGUUUACACCGAGAAAAUGUUUGAACACGAUGUCGAAUUGUGUCGAGCCAGUGGCAGUUUGGAAUGACGAAUCCGGGGAGAGUAGCUCAUUCAAGGAAAACUUACUUCAGAUACCUAUAAUCUGCAGUUGUUGUCGCAAACGCAAUGAACAGGGCAGUGGUGGAGAUGCGCUUGAUAUCGUUCCAAGCAAAGAACACAAUGGUAUCGCGAGAAAAAUUGAAUGUUUCAAAGCAGAACAAUCAGAGAGCAACGAUGGAAAAGCCAUGAAAGGCUUCAUAACGGAGUCGAGGAAUUCUAGCCGCUGUCGUACUUCAUAUUCUCAUUCAGGUAGACGAAGUCCAAAAGAAACUUCGUCGAAAUUGGAUUCCGUUAAUCUUCUGUACGACAGAGGCCACGACGAUGUAGACAAAGGUAACAACUCGUCCGAGAAACGGAACUGCAACGCUGGAGAACACAGCUGCAGCGGUGGGAGAAGAGAUUGCAAGUCGGCUCAUCGAAAUUCGCGAUCUAAAUUAAAUGUCUCCGAGUCGCGAAAGGAUAACGUGUUGCCCAACGUUUCGCACGAUUGCGAUUUUCAUUGUGCCAAACAUUCUACUAUGAACUUGUUGGGGUCGCAUACGGACUGCUGUCAAUCACAGAAUUCUCAUCGUUGUUACCACUCUCACGAGCACUGUCAUCAUCAUUGCUACGAAAAAUGCAGUUGCACAGCGAAAGGCAAACCACGUCUCACUUCAGACACCUGUCUCUGUUCGUCAAAUUUGAACGAUCACGCAGUUCAUUGUAACAAGGAUCACGUACCCUGCAACCAUGGUUGUUGCACGAAAGGAUUGAAAAAGAUAUCGUUGGUUCAGGAGCAGAAAGACGAAGAAUUAGACGAUUGCGUGGGCACGAUUCAUCACAAGGACUCUCUGUGCAUCUUGGUGGAAAAAUACAAAGCGAACAGAAAGUGCAAGAUCAAGAAAUGUGCCGACGAAGCGGAAAUCUCGGAUGAACGAAUCAAAGACGACAAAUCGUUCACGUCAGAAACCACCUGUCAAUUGGAAGAUAUUAAUUCGAAACAGCGAGAGAAACAUUCGGACAACAAACAUAGAUUUCGAGGGAAAACGUGCAGGCACGGUUGCGGGCAAGUUAUCAGAGACGGAGACUACAAUCACAUAAAAAAUUUAAAAUCUCGUCUGAUAAAGACAGGGACUUGCUGUUCACCGAAAGGGACACCUUGGAGACACACGUUUUACGUCUAACCAGAUUUUUUUACACGACACGCAUUUUAUUUAUUCAAAGAUUUUUGUAUUUGUAUUAUAUUUCUUUUUCUUGUGCUCGUUAUAUAUUGCCUUCUUUUUAUACAUAAUGUUCUUGGUUCAUUUGUCGCAUUUUAGAACUGUUACUUGAAAGGAAAUUUCCAAUUCAACGUGAAUCCACAAAGGGGACGUUUACAUUGUGCAACUUUUGACCGAUCGGUCGACUUCGAGUUGUUCAACUAAAAGAUUUAUAGUACGCUUAAAUAUUGGACAUUUUUAUCGGACAGCAUGGUUGACGCAUUAUGUAAAAAGAUGUUACGUUCAAUAUUAGCCAGUUGCACUGCAUUUGUUAUUAUUUGCAAGAGUUACUAUUAAAUUCAUUUAAAUUCAUUUUCUUUGCUAUUUCUUCUAUUUUAACAAAUUGCAAUCUACUGAAGUCUUAAGUUGAUCAAACUGAUUAGGGCUAUAGGGAUUUAGAGAUAAGGUGAGAAGGCUUGGAGUUGAAAAAAUUCGAGUAUUUUUAAUGGCUAAAUAAUUAAAAUCCGUAAAUUUCUAAUGCCGAAAGCUUCUCGUGGACUAAAUCCGCCAGUGAGUUGGCUAUCACGGUUGGUCGAUCAAAAGUUGUUUAAUGUAAAUGUAACUACAGUGGAAGUACGUAAAUUUGAGUUGAAGUUACAUAAAUUUCUCUCAAUAUGUUUCUCGAAUUUUCAUUAAAAUGCUCGUAAAUUUCCCAGCAAACCGCCUCUGGUUCUAAUUUUCAUUUUCGCUUCGGGGGGCAAAAAGGAAGGUGUAAAAAAGUGUACUCGACGGAGGUUCAAUUUCGUCGCGUGAAGGACCACGCGACGGUGCACUUCAGAAGAGUUAUUUUUUAAAGCAUAUUGCGCUAAUAAAGUUAAUAAACUUA